GAUGAACGCCGGCGGCGUGCCUAAUACAUGCAAGUCGAGCGAACAGACGAGGAGCUUGCUCCUCUGACGUUAGCGGCGGACGGGUGAGUAACACGUGGAUAACCUACCUAUAAGACUGGGAUAACUUCGGGAAACCGGAGCUAAUACCGGAUAAUAUAUUGAACCGCAUGGUUCAAUAGUGAAAGACGGUUUUGCUGUCACUUAUAGAUGGAUCCGCGCCGCAUUAGCUAGUUGGUAAGGUAACGGCUUACCAAGGCGACGAUGCGUAGCCGACCUGAGAGGGUGAUCGGCCACACUGGAACUGAGACACGGUCCAGACUCCUACGGGAGGCAGCAGUAGGGAAUCUCCCGCAAUGGGCGAAAGCCUGACGGAGCAACGCCGCGUGAGUGAUGAAGGUCUUCGGAUCGUAAAACUCUGUUAUUAGGGAAGAACAAAUGUGUAAGUAACUAUGCACGUCUUGACGGUACCUAAUCAGAAAGCCACGGCUAACUACGUG
rnacentral:rRNA from 1 species